UCUCCGCAUCGCAAAUCCCCUCCACUCCCCAAUCUAGCGCCGUCUGCCGUGGUGGCCCCCUCGGAGGUGCUCAAUUCUGUCCCGCCGCCGGCGUUUGUUGUCCUCCCAUAAUCGAUCCGGCGUCGAGCGGCCUCGCGACAACGAGGGAUUCAAGCUGCUCCUGAACCGGCCACGGUCACUGGUCUGCCGAGGUCGGCUACGGGAGGUGCUGUUGGUCGGCGGAUUUCUGCAUCUGCAUCGUCACCGGCGGUGUCCACACAUCGUCGUCACCGGCGGCGUCGGCAGUUCUUCUGCGAACGGAGCAAACCUGGUUGCGUCAUUAUGAGGGUUCUGAGGUGCAGAUCAGGGAUUUUCCUAUUGAGUACAUCAAGACGGUGAAGCAGGGGGCAACUCGUAACUGCGGCAUCUACCUCCUGGAGUGCCUUGCUAAGUGGGAAGGAAGGAAGGUACCAAGACUCAACAAGGAAAUUGUGUCAGAGUUGAGGAAAAUCUACCUGUGGAAUUGGGUGACAAAUUCUGAUUUCAACAAGCGGGGUGGCGCAAAGGAAUGGGUCGAGGGUGCUGUGAAGAGAUACUGCUGAAUACGUCAUGAACCAAGCUUUCCUCUUUUAUUUUCAGCACUUACAUUUGUGUUUGUUCGGAUGAAUGUAAGGUUCUGCUACCUAAUUAACCUCGACUUUUACGUGUUUUGUCGUCCUAUUCUGUGUGUGUACGCUGUAGCGACUGUAUGGCGUGUGUGUGUCAAAAACCUAAUAUAUUUUGUA